GAUGAAGAACGUAGCAAAAUGCGAUAAGUAAUGUGAAUUGCAGAAUUCAGUGAAUCAUCGAAUGUUUGAACGCACAUUGCGCCCGCCAGUAUUCUGGCGGGCAUGCCUGUUCGAGCGUCAUUUCAACCCUCAAGCCCCCGGGCUUGGUGUUGGGGAUCGGCGUGCCCUCGCGGCGCGCCGUCCCCUAAAUCUAGUGGCGGUCUCGCUGUAGCUUCCUCUGCGUAGUAGCAACACUAGCACUGGAUCGCAGCGCGGCCACGCCGUUAAACCCCCCACUUCUGAAAGUUUGACCUCGGAUCAGGUAGGAAUACCCGCUGAACUUAAGCAUAUCAAUAAGCGGAGGA
rnacentral:misc_RNA from 1 species